UACGUAGGUGGCGAGCGUUGUCCGGAUUUAUUGGGCGUAAAGGGAGUGUAGGCGGUCUUUUAAGUCUGAUGUGAAAGCCCACGGCUCAACCGUGGAGGGUCAUUGGAAACUGGGAGACUUGAGUGCAGAAGAGGAGAGCGGAAUUCCAUGUGUAGCGGUGAAAUGCGUAGAUAUAUGGAGGAACACCAGUGGCGAAGGCGGCUCUCUGGUCUGUAACUGACGCUGAGGCUCGAAAGCGUGGGGAG
rnacentral:rRNA from 1 species